AAGCAAAUCCCGAUUAGCACCUCCACAGUAACAAUAAUAAUAAUUCAAUAUAAGCAGGAAAUAUAAUGUUUCAAACAAAAGAAAGGAGAUGAAGAUGAAAAAACAAACAAUUUGUUUCAAGGAUUUUAAACCUGCAUCGAAAGCCAACAACCAGCAAAGAAUAAGUUUGCAACGAAAGGAAAAUCAAAUUUAAGCUUGGAAACCUUCAAAAACGACCUCAAAUCCUAAAGGCCAUAUAUAAUUCAUCAGUUCACCACAUACAAUGAUUCUCAGGGAAGCAAAUCAUAAAAUCGAA
rnacentral:misc_RNA from 1 species